rnacentral:snRNA from 1 species
UGCUUUGUGCAGUGGCAGUAUUGUAACCAAUGAGGUUUAUCCGAGGCAUUAUUGUUGCUAAUUGGAGACAUUGAAGAUCUAAAACAUAGCUUCCCCUUGCUUUAGCAGCUCUCCUGAAAGG